CGCUCCUCACCCCCCCUCCCCAUUCUCCAGGGGCGGAGGGUGACGCGGGACCGGACCUCAACCCCCUGUCCCCAUUCUCCAGGGGGGGGGGGGGGGGGGUGACGCGGGGCCGCCGAGCUGGGGCGUUAUUGUGACGGGAGAAUAUGCCGGCCUUGAAACCCAACACCGAAUAUUCCGGACACGUCCCCCUCCACCGCCCUAGCGCAGAGCCGGCCGGCCGGCCGUUGCUAAUGCUUGAUGGAGCGUCGCCCAAACAAUGAUCCUGAAAAGAGGCGGUCGGAAAAAAAUACACCCGCUUCACGGCUUCCUCUCACCAUCGCUCCGCUUGAUUUCGACGUAAAUCCCGAUAUGGACUCUUCCGAAAUUGAUUGCCAUACUUUAUCGCCUACCAUUCGUCGCACGAUAUCGCCGUUGAUUUAAAUAAAACCGUUUAAUCGUU